AACAAGGGCAUGCCCUAGUAGCGGCGAGCGAAGCGGGAAGAGCUCAAAUUUAUAAUCUGGCACCUUCGGUGUCCGAGUUGUAAUCUCUAGAAGUGUUUUCCGCGUUGGACCGCACACAAGUCUGUUGGAAUACAGCGGCACAGUGGUGAUACCCCCGUACACGGUGCGGACGCCCAGCGCUUUGUGAUACACUUUCAAUGAGUCGAGUUGUUUGGGAAUGCAGCUCAAAUUGGGUGGUAAAUUCCAUCUAAAGCUAAAUAUUGGCGAGAGACCGAUAGCGAACAAGUACCGUGAGGGAAAGAUGAAAAGCACUUUGGAAAGAGAGUUAACAGUACGUGAAAUUGUUGGAAGGGAAACGCUUGAAGUCAGACUUGCUUGCCGGAGCUUGCUUCGGUUUGCAGGCCAGCAUCAGUUUUCCGGGGUGGAUAAUGGUGGUUUGAAGGUAGCAGCCUCGGCUGUGUUAUAGCUUUCCACUGGAUACAUCCUGGGGGACUGAGGAACGCAGCGUGCUUUUUGCGAAGGUUUCGACCUUUUCACGCUUAGGAUGCUGGUGUAAUGACUUUAAACGACCCGUCUUGACACACGGGACCAAAA
rnacentral:rRNA from 1 species